UUAAAAGCAGUGACGGAGACAAAAAUGCCUCCACAUAUCUCAAGAGAGCUAAUGUUUGGUGAGAAUUAGCGGUAUGCGGCAUAUAAUGAUCACUCCUGAGCUUUCAAGUCGAAGCUUCAAAGUAGACUUGGACGUCCGCCAGCGUUACUUGGCUAUAUGGUUUGAUAAAGACCUGAUUAAUGGAGUUGGCUUUUGCCAUAAAAUAGGGUGGUACCGCGGAUAAUACUUUCGUCCCUAUG
rnacentral:ncRNA from 1 species